CUCUCUCUCUCUCUCUCUCUCUCUCUCUCUCUCUCUCUAUGUAAAAGAAGAAAUUGUUCUCACUAUGCAGCUUGGACUCAAGAGAAUCAGGUAGGGUACAGUGUGUUUCCUGUGCCAGGAAAUUGUCUGUUGGACAUGAUAGCGGGCCAAUUGGUUGUUGGGCUUCCUUUUUUUUUUGAGGAAAUGUGAAAGCAUAAGAAUGACUUGAAUUUGGUUUGCAUUGGAUUGGGCAUAUCCUCUCUUUUUUUAACAACAAAUAUGCAGCUGUUUAUGGGCACGUUGCAUCAUCAUAUUCACUUCAUGAAUUAGCUAUGAUAUUUGUCAUAAAAUAAUAAAAAAUUAUAUUUUAGAAAUUAGAAUCUAGACAUAAUAAACAUAGAAAAGUUUCUAUGAAAAUUUAUGAGUCAAUUCAGAUCUUUUUUAAUGAUUUGGAUAAAAGAUAGUAUCUGAUGUGCUUGAGUCACAUGUCAAAUAUCUAACUAGAAGCUUGGUCCUUGUUCUAUAAGAACUGGAUAAUGGCUUCCCCUUUCUUUCUCGAGGAAUCAGGGCAUGCAUUCUUUAGAUCUUUUGAUGCUUUGAAGGGGUCAACCAUUCUCAU
rnacentral:lncRNA from 1 species